rnacentral:rRNA from 1 species
CCUACGGGUGGCAGCAGUGGGGAAUAUUGGACAAUGGGGGCAACCCUGAUCCAGCCAUGCCGCGUGUGUGAAGAAGGCCCUCGGGUUGUAAAGCACUUUCAGUGAGGAAGAACGCCUGGUGGUUAAUACCCAUCAGGAAAGACAUCACUCACAGAAGAAGCACCGGCUAACUCCGUGCCAGCAGCCGCGGUAAUACGGAGGGAGCGAGCGUUAAUCGGAAUUACUGGGCGUAAAGCGCGCGUAGGUGGCUUGAUAAGCCGGUUGUGAAAGCCCCGGGCUCAACCUGGGAACGGCAUCCGGAACUGUCAAGCUAGAGUGCAGGAGAGGAAGGUAGAAUUCCCGGUGUAGCGGUGAAAUGCGUGGAGAUCGGGAGGAAUACCAGUGGCGAAGGCGGCCUUCUGGACUGACACUGACACUGAGGUGCGAAAGCGUGGGUAGCAAACAGGAUUAGAUACCCGGGUAGUC